UACGUAGGGCGCAAGCGUUGUCCGGAUUUACUGGGCGUAAAGGGCGCGUAGGCGGUCGUGACAAGUCACUUGUGAAAUCUCCGGGCUUAACUCGGAACGGUCAAGUGAUACUGUCGGACUAGAGUACAGAAGGGGCAACUGGAAUUCUCGGUGUAGCGGUGAAAUGCGUAGAUAUCGAGAGGAGCACCUGCGGCGAAGGCGGGUUGCUGGGCUGAUACUGACGCUGAGGCGCGAAAGCCAGGGGAGCGAACGGG
rnacentral:rRNA from 1 species